UUUAUUGGAGAGUUUGAUCCUGGCUCAGGAUGAACGCUGGCGGCGUGCCUAAUACAUGCAAGUCGAGCGAAUGGAUUAAGAGCUUGCUCUUAUGAAGUUAGCGGCGGACGGGUGAGUAACACGUGGGUAACCUGCCCAUAAGACUGGGAUAACUCCGGGAAACCGGGGCUAAUACCGGGUAACAUUUUGAACCGCAUGGUUCGAAAUUGAAAGGCGGCUUCGGCUGUCACUUAUGGAUGGACCCGCGUCGCAUUAGCUAGUUGGUGAGAUAACGGCUCACCAAGGCAACG
rnacentral:rRNA from 1 species